rnacentral:rRNA from 1 species
CCUACGGGACGCAGCAGUAGGGAAUCUUUCACAAUGGGCGAAAGCCUGAUGGAGCAACGCCGCGUGCAGGAUGAAGGCCUUCGGGUUGUAAACUGCUUUUAUAAGCGAGAAAUAUGAUGGUAACUUAUGAAUAAGGAUCGGCUAACUACGUGCCAGCAGCCGCGGUAAUACGUAGGGGGCGAGCGUUAUCCGGAUUCAUUGGGCGUAAAGCGCGCGUAGGCGGUCAUGUAAGCGAGACCUCUAAUCUUGGGGCUCAACCUCAAGCCGGGUUCCGAACUACAUGACUCGAGUGUGGUAGGGGAGAU